ACGUCACAACAUGGCUGCCUCUUAUCCAAGAAAAUGCACAACAAUCAUAUUUAAAAAGCUGAAAUAUGUCAUAUACAUUUUUUGCAUCGUGCAGAAUAAAUUUGUUUAGUUUAAAAACGCGGUGUUAUUAAAAAAAUAGUGGGCCACUCAAAAGCUUGGGUAAAAGACUCUAAACAGACAUCUGUUAUGGUUAUUUCACUCUGAAAAGAGCACAGUCAUACCGUACACACAUAAACAUACAAGCUUAAAUGUCUCUACAACAAUGCUUAGUUUUCUUUAUGCCAGGCAAUCAGGGCAUGACGACCCAGUUCGUGUGAGACGUGCACUCUUUAUAAGGGUGCUGAGUCUGUAGUUGAACCACAACAGAGAUGUUGAUCGUAUUCAUGGCACCCUGGACAUUGAGGUUACUGAUGGAAGAUAUAUGUUGUCAGGCGGAUCUGAUGACGUAAUUGCGAUCUAUGACUUGGAAAACAACAGCAAGAAGCCUCGAUACACUUGCAAAGCAAUCUGCACAGUGGGCAGGACAGUAUGACACCAUUCUUGUUCAGUGAUCCAGUGACCACCAGAUGGCACUAUAAUAUUUUCUGAUUUUAAUGUAUGUUUGUUUGUUUGUAGUAUGUAUGUUAUGUGUGGCUUUCACAUCUCUGUGAAGGUCCAGGCAUGUGCAUAAAUUCAGUGUUGAAACAUGACACUGGUAUGUGUGUAUCCAGUUCAUUCGACAAAACCAUGAAAGUCUGGAACACAGAAACUCUAAAGACACACAGGAAUGGUGCUCAAGCAACAUUCAAGGCCUUCGGCUCCCUUAAGCACAUCUAACAUGAGUGUAAAUAUAUGUGUAUUUCCCUUUCAAAAUAUUAUUUAAUCACAUUAAGUAUUACUGCAUAUGAUUGAUUAUUUAUUUAUUCGUUUA